rnacentral:tRNA from 1 species
GGCUGUGUGGUCCAAUGGAUAGGCCACAUAACUGGGACUCAGAAGACUCAGGUUCGAUUCCUGACUCUGCGA